UUUUAUAUUAGACUAUUCCGUUCACGCUCUCUUUCUCUCUCUAGGGUACGCGAUUCUUUUUCUUCUCAGACGUGUAACAUCAAGCUCCUCUUAUUUUUGCUGCUUUGAGUUGUUUUCGUACCUUGCCAACACUUGCGUUUCAUGGGGAUCAACAAUAUAUUUUGGAGGUUAAACAUUAUCUCUUCAGGUUUUCAUGGGGAUCAGCAAUAUUUGGGGGGUUAAACAUUAUCUCUUUAGAACUACUGACGCUUCUGUUACAUUCGGUACCACAAAAAGAGUUGCUCAACGUGCUUACAAGUAACCAACUAUCUUAUCUUUAUAUAUUUGUAAACGCAAGCUCCUAUUAACACAUUCUUUGUUUCUCCUACCCGUUGUACUGCUAACCGUUAAUGUUGUGCACCAAUUUUGUUUCUACAAGUUGUGCUAUUGUGUCUAUCUGUAAUGUUGUUUAA